UCUCCUUUUCAGGGGGACCUGCUGCUAGUGAGGAAAAAAGAGGAGAAAUUCCCUUAGUUAAAAAUUCACCCCCGAGAGGGAAAUCCGGGUUACUAGGCUGGGAACUGUGUAGCUGGCCUCCUGACUUUCUGACUUUUCAGCCUCUAUCUAUAAAUCUGCCAGAAGGCAAGUUGACUUUCCUGGAGCUGUGUAAAGAAAGCUUGAGAGCUGGCCGAGUGAGAGUUUGGAAAGAACAUCUGCCCAAGGACAGGGGUUGAAGCAACACCGAAGCCGUCCCAUUAAAACACAGAGAUAUCUCAGGGAGGCCAGUGGCACACAGAGCCAGGGUGGAAUUUCCUAUUAUUUCCAAGAGCUCGGAGGACCACUGAAUUGACCACAAUGACUGCAUAGUGCUCACAUCUUAGUGAAACUGGCUAAAAAGCUCUGCUGGCUUCGAUGUGGCUCAUGUUUAAAAUCAUCUGAUAUCUGGAGGCAUCUCCAACUCAACACGUCGCAAACGGAACUCGGUGGCCUCCCUCUCCGACCCCCAUACUGCCCCCUUUCCUGCACUCUCCGAUUUCUAGAGAGAACACAGCCAUUGCCCGCCCUCUGGAGUUUGUAACCUUGGAGUCAUCCUCACCUUCUCAUUCUUCCUCACUUCACAUAUCCAAAGUUAUCAAAUCUUGCUUCUUCUGCCUCUAGAACAUCUCUCCAAUUGGCCUCUUUUGCUCCCAACGCAAUCAUCACUUUAGUUUAGCACCCAACCAUGUCUUGCCUGGUCUCCUAAUAGGUCAGCCUCAAUGUCUUUCUAUUCCAAUUUCUCUGUCACACAGAUCUGACCAUUCUGCUCCCCUCUCCGAGAAACUGCAGUGGUUCCCUCUCAGCCUAGGAUAAAACAGAAACUUCUCUUGAAGUUCUUUAUGACUUGUCCCAAUCUGUCUUUUUUUUUUUUUUUUCCUCAUUAUUUCCCUUCCCAGCCUGGCCCUCCAUCUUGGUCAUCUCUUAUCCAUGGAGUGCAUUUCUUCUUCAUAGCUACAGUGAAGAAUUACUUCCUUCCUUCAAGACAGUUUAAGACCCAUCUCCUCAAAGCCAAGCCGAUCCCCCGGAUUGCGAGUGCCCUGUGUCUUCCUGAAUGACCUUAUUUUUAACUAACUUCUUUUAUUUGCUAUUUAAUCUUUACAUACUUAUAUGUUACCUAAACAAAUAUAAUGUAUAUAUUACAUAAAAUAAUUGUAGGGGUACAUUAAAUCAGAGAAUGGUAUGAUGGAAAGAGAAGAUGGGCUGGCUCCUUAUAUUGUAUGAAUGAGGAUAACAAGGGCAUGGCCCAGAAUGCUCUACUGGUAGCCUCAUGAUUUUGGGAGAAAGUGAGCAAG
rnacentral:lncRNA from 1 species